ensembl:processed_transcript 2610206C17Rik RIKEN cDNA 2610206C17 gene
AUGCAUGCCUGCUGCACCCUUCACCAACCCUUCAGUCUAACCUGGAUGCUUAUAGAUGUUGGAAGAGGUGAAAUACUUCACCAAGUCUCCAAACAAGUGCUAGAAAGGAUCUUGAGCUAUGGUUGGAUGAUUUCUCUGGGUUUGAGGUCUUGGAAUUGUACCAUUGGACCAAAAAUGGCCAAUUCUAUGUUUGCCCAGGCCACUGCUGCAUCAAGGCUCAGAGAGAUAAGUGUGGAGGGUCCUCUGAUUACUUUUGGGUUGUUUGGGGAUAUGAAUUCAUCUGCUAUAUAUGGUGACUUGUGGUGCAUGCAUUAUUAA